UACGUAGGUGGCAAGCGUUGUCCGGAAUUAUUGGGCGUAAAGCGCACGUAGGCGGCCGAAUAAGUCGGGUGUGAAAGCCCUGGGCUCAACCCAGGAAGUGCACUCGAAACUGCUCGGCUUGAAUAUGGAAGAGGGUUGCGGAAUUCCCGGUGUAGAGGUGAAAUUCGUAGAUAUCGGGAGGAACACCAGUGGCGAAGGCGGCAACCUGGGCCAAUAUUGACGCUGAGGUGCGAAAGCGUGGGGAGCAAACAGG
rnacentral:rRNA from 1 species